CCUGAGAAACCCAAAAGAUCGAAUGGGGAGAUUCAUCGUCAGCUCAUUUUAUAUAUAUGCUAGCUAUGAUAUGGGUUACUACUUGUAGUAUUGCCUGUACAUUCUUGUAUAUUUAAUUGUAAGAUGUUGUCGGCGUGCACUUCUCCCCUAGUAGGACGUCGCGACCCGUUGAGUGUUGGUCUACGGCCCAAGUGGGAGCUUUUAAUGAAUUUUAUUCAUUGAAAACCCUUGGUGUAUCCUGACUGGCACUCGUCGGUAUUCGUAUGGUAUUGAGCCGCAUAUUUAUAUGCGUCCAUAUCUGUCGCAAGCGAGGUUAGCUACUGAUAGUGCGGACCUAGUGCCGUCGUUGGUACUAAUCAGCUGUUGGUUGUACAGAAUUCUAGGACUGGCUCGUUGAAAUACCGGUCAGCGAUGCUACUGCUUUGGG
rnacentral:rRNA from 1 species